AAUAAAUCAAUUUUUGUUUUUAAGGCCGGUUAUCCAGCACUGCGGAAAAUAAAUCUUUUUUGUUUUGUGCCAUCUCCAGACCCCACUGAUAAUGAGAGUGAGAUAGCUACACAUAGUAAGGUAGUUGGAAAGAAGAGAGCAGCGUCAGUAUUUUUUGAGUGGAAGAGAAUAAAAAAAUUCUCAAGUGCAGACCCUAAAAGGGGAACACAAAACAAGGAAACAAACAAUACCAACAACUAUAAAUAAAAGAUACAGUGAAAGAUCUCUCCGUGAAAAUCAAAAGCAGAGCAAGUCGAUGUUCACUCCAGAGAGUGGUUGCCUGCGCUGGCAAACGUAAAAGAAUUUAAUUAGGCUAUUUAUGUAUGUGAAAAAAAAUCUAGAAAAUAUUUCGAGAUAUUUCCAUGAUGAUUUGCAAGUUUAUAAAGAUGAGAAUGGAAUUCUGAACAAUUUCAUAAUAUCAUGAAAUUAAAUAAAAAACAUGAGCAAAUAAA